UUGCUCUUCAACGAGGAAUGCCUAGUAAGCGCGUGUCAUCAGCAUGCGUUGAUUACGUCCCUGCCCUUUGUACACACCGCCCGUCGCUACUACCGAUUGAAUGGCUCAGUGAGGCCUUCGGACUGGCUCGGGGAGGUUGGCAACGACCACCCCGAGCCGGAAAGUUCGUCAAACUCGGUCAUUUAGAGGAAGUAAAAGUCGUAACAAGGUUUCCGUAGGUGAACCUGCGGAAGGAUCAUUAUCAAUUUACAGCGGACUUCGGUCCUGUCUGCACCCUUGUCUUUUGCGUACUAUAUGUUUCCUCGGUGGGCUUGCCUGCCGAUAGGACACUUAUAAACUCUUUUGUAAUUGCAAUCAGCGUCAGAAAAACUAUAAUAGUUACAACUUUCAACAACGGAUCUCUUGGUUCUGGCAUCGAUGAAGAACGCAGCGAAAUGCGAAAAGUAGUGUGAAUUGCAGAAUUCAGUGAAUCAUCGAAUCUUUGAACGCACAUUGCGCCCCUUGGUAUUCCAUGGGGCAUGCCUGUUCGAGCGUCAUUUGUACCCUCAAGCUCUGCUUGGUGUUGGGUGUUUGUCCCGCUAUUGCGUGUGGACUCGCCUUAAAGCAAUUGGCAGCCGGCAUAUUGGCCUGGAGCGCAGCACAAUUUGCACUUCUUGUCUUUGAAUGUCGAGCAUCCAGAAGCAACUCUUUUUGCUUUUGACCUCGGAUCAGGUAGGGAUACCCGCUGAACUUAAGCAUAUCAAUAAGCGGAGGA
rnacentral:rRNA from 1 species